rnacentral:rRNA from 1 species
GCUUAUGGCCACACCGCCUGGUUCACGCCUGAUCUCGUUUGAUCUCGGAAGCUAAGAUAGGGUGGGCCAGGUUAGUACUUGGAUGGGGAGACUGCCUGGGAAUACCAGGUGCUGUAAGCU